UACGGAGGGUGCAAGCGUUAUCCGGAUUUACUGGGUUUAAAGGGUGCGUAGGUGGGUAGGAAAGUCGGGUGUGAAAUCUCGGAGCUUAAUUCCGAAACUGCAUUCGAUACUGCCGUGCUUGAGGACUGGAGAGGAGACUGGAAUUUACGGUGUAGCAGUGAAAUGCGUAGAGAUCGUAAGGAAGACCAGUGGCGAAGGCGGGUCUCUGGACAGUUCCUGACACUGAGGCACGAAGGCCAGGGGAGCAAACGGG
rnacentral:rRNA from 1 species